rnacentral:rRNA from 1 species
UACAGAGGUCCCAAGCGUUGUUCGGAUUCACUGGGCGUAAAGGGUGCGUAGGUGGCCGGGUAAGUCUGACGUGAAAUCUCCGAGCCUAACUCGGAAACUGCAUCGGAUACUAUCCGGCUUGAGGGUUGGAGGGGGGACUGGAAUACUUGGUGUAGCGGUGAAAUGCGCAGAUAUCAGGAGGAACACCGGUGGCGAAGGCGGGUCUCUGGGCCGAUAUUGACGCUGAGGCGCGAAAGCUAGGGGAGCGAACAGG